rnacentral:rRNA from 1 species
UACGUAGGGGGCUAGCGUUGUCCGGAAUCAUUGGGCGUAAAGAGCGUGUAGGCUGCUCGGUAAGUCCGCUGUAAAAGUCAAAGGCUCAACCUUUGAAUGUCAGUGGAUACUGCCGGGCUAGAGUCCGGAAGAGGCGAGUGGAACUGCGAGUGUAGAGGUGAAAUUCGUAGAUAUUCGCAAGAACACCAGUGGCGAAGGCGGCUCACUGGUCCGGUUCUGACGCUGAGGCGCGAAAGCGUGGGGAGCAAACAGG